rnacentral:lncRNA from 1 species
GCAGACUUCAGAGGACUGAGCACCAUUCUUGGGUGUAGGUUUAAAUGGGCUUCCCUGCUCCCCUACUCAUCUUGCAUGGAGGUACAAAUUCUGAUAAUCACAUUCCUGUAAAUACACAAAAAUAUUCUGUGGUGUUUCACCAGCAGCCAUUGGAUGGGACAUUUUUUAUAAACUUUUUUUAUGGUUCCGAACUUUCUAAUACACCCAUUAUUUUUGUGAAAUGUAAAAGCACCAAAAAAAAAAAAAAAUCACCUAGAUUCCAACAGCCAGAGAAAAUCACUGUUUGUUUUUAAAGUCUUUACUUUAAAUAUAUCUGUAUAUCCAAUUGAAAAUGUUUGAGGCUUCCCUUCCAGCACAAUCAGACAAAGUUUUACAAAUCGGGGCUGGAGUUGUGGCUCAAAGAUAGAGCGCUUUCCUUGCACAUGUGAGGCACUGGGUUCCAUUCUUAGCACCACAUAAAAAUAAACAAAUACAUUAAAAAAAUUACAUGACAUAUACACAAUCUUAUAAAAAAAAAGUUACUACAAAUAAAAAUCCAAAAUGCAGUAGGCCAUUCAGUUGGCCAUAAUGGAUAUGUGGAAAUGUAAUUAAUUUGUGUUGAAGACCACAAAAGAUCUGUGCUGAUCUAUUUAAAUUUGGUGUUUGAAAUUAAAUAUAAGAAUUUCAUGUGUGAUUUUUUAGAUGCCCUAAAUUGAGUAUUUUUAAUUAGUAUGUAUGUGACCAAACAUCUUGUCUAUUGCAAGUACCCCAAAAUAAAAGUGUACAAUGAACCAAAGAAUUUUAUUGAUCAACUAGCAAUAAGUGUUCAGAUGUAAUAAACAGAAAAUUCUUUGGAUAUGUAUAUAUUUCAACAUCUCAAGUUA